UGAAUGAAAAAAAAAAUUAAAUAAAUGUUCAAGUGAUAAUUCCACUACGAGAAUCCUCAAUAUAACACUACAAUGGAACACAAUUGUGAUAUUCCUGCAAGAAUAUCAAGCGAUUCUGUAUUUCAACAUUUCAAAAAGUAGAAGAAACAAAACUAUCAAUAAAAUGAAAGCUCCUGAUAUCUAAACCAAUUUGUAUGCUAUUCUAAUUUUUCAAAAUUUAAUCAUAUAGCAUUUACGAAGCAGGAGAGGUCAACACUUAAAACCAAUUUUGAUGAUACUCUAAUUUUCCAAAAUUUCAUCAUUUAGCAUUUACAAAGUAGAAGAGAAGGCUGGCUGUGUGGGGGCGAUGCAGGCGGCGCGGCGACGAGCAGCAGAUGCAGGCGGCGCGACGGUCGAUUGGGUGGUGGAGUGGCGGUCGGCAGGGUGGGGCGACGUUGAUUGAUUGGCAGGAACCAGAGCUUCAGAUCUGACCAAGAGCUGUACCGCACAGUAGCAGCAUCCAGAGCUUCAGAUCUGACCAGUCUUCUGCGCCCACCGGCUCGCGCACGGCACAUCCCGGCGCGAGCAACAACAGCAGCACCGAGCGCACCGGCACGCACAAAACAGUAGCAGCCAGCACAGAGCAGCACCUGCGCGCGCGACAGCAGCAUAGCAGCACCGAUGGUGGAGAGAAGGCACGGUGUUGGGGGAGAGCCGGAGAGAGCGACGCUGCGGCGGAGAAGCUGGGCGACAGGCGACGUCGCGGACUCGCGACGGAGAAAAUGGACCAGUGCAAACGCACCGCGGUGUGGAGAUUCUGGAGAAGAGAAGUCCUAUAAGAUUUGAAAAAAAUGAGUGAGGGA